UCAUAUAUCGUCUAACAGUAAGACAUUCGACUUCCAUUCGAAUAAUAAGAGUCCGAUUCUCUCUAUGUGUU
rnacentral:tRNA from 1 species